rnacentral:sRNA from 1 species
GGAAACGGAAAAUGUCAGAAACUGUGUUACGUUUGAAAUUCAAAAACUAAAUGUAGCAUCAAAUUUUGCAUUACAACUAUGGAAGCAGAAUAUGUUUUUCUCGAUUCUUUGGGAGGCAAGGCCCACCUUGGAAGGUAGUAUCGGAUAAUGGGAGAAAUUUCGUGGGUACCAGAGAACAACAGCAAGCCGAAUUAAAAAUGAGUCCACACGACAGGCAUGAAGCGAAUGGCAAUCUCACAUCUUAUACCAGCAAUCGUUGUUGACGUUUACGACUCUCAACGAUAAAAACAUAAAAUGCUACUUUAAAUUCGUUGAGUUAAUCAAUACACAUGAAGGCUCACAUUGAGCGGAACUGAAUAGAAGACACGCACUCUCAGCUAUCUUUCAUUGUUAUGAGAGCUGAAAUUAAUUUCCGUUCUUUGUAAUGGCUUGGAUAAAGAAAAAAAUGGAAGUAAGUCUGUCACUUUUGAACAGAUGGAGACAAAUAGCACGUACGCCAGUGAUAAUAACAAUUCUCAUUCCAAAAUAAAAAAAACAAGUGUAAAAAACAA